rnacentral:rRNA from 1 species
CUUAAGGUAUGGAGCCGAAGGGAAACCGAGUCUGAAAAGGGCGAAAAGUUGCAUGGUGUAGACCCGAAACCGGGUGACCUAUCCAUGGCCAGGUUGAAGCGAGAGUAAAAUCUCGUGGAGGACCGAACCACGUUGGUGUUGAAAAACCAUGGGAUGAGCUGUGGAUAGCGGAGAAAUUCCAAUCGAACUCGGAGAUAGCUGGUUCUCCUCGAAAUAGCUUUAGGGCUAGCGUCGUGUAAUUGAGUAAUGGAGGUAGAGCACUGAAUGGGCUAGGGGCUAUAGUAGUUACCGAACCCUAUCAAACUCCGAAUGCCAUAUACUUGUAUCACGGCAGUCAGACUGCGAAUGAUAAGAUCCGUAGUCAAAAGGGAAACAGCCCAGACCAUCAGCUAAGGUCCCAAAGUGUAAGUUAAGUGGAAAAGGAUGUGGGAUUUCUAAGACAACUAGGAUGUUGGCUUAGAAGCAGCCACUCAUUUAAAGAGUGCGUAAUAGCUCACUAGUCAAGAGAUCCUGCGCCGAAGAUGUCCGGGGCUCAAACUUACCACCGAAGCUAUGGGUGUACACUAUGUGUACGCGGUAGAGGAGCUUUCUGUAUGGGUUGAAGUCGUACCGUAAGGAGCGGUGGACUGUACAGAAGUGAGAAUGCUGGCAUAAGUAGCGAGAAAUAAGUGAGAAUCUUAUUGGCCGAAAACCUAAGGUUUCCUGGGGAAGGUUCGUCCGCCCAGGGUUAGUCGGGACCUAAGCCGAGGCCGAAAGGCGUAGGUGAUGGACAAUCGGUUGAUAUUCCGAUACCGCCUAUUUACGUUUGAGAGAUGGGGUGACGCAGUAGGAUAAGAUGUGCGCACUAUUGGAUGUGCGUCUAAGCAUUUAGGCAUGCUUGAUAGGUAAAUCCGUCGAGCUAAGCUGAGGUGUAAUGGGGAGCCAUUUAUGGCGAAGUAUCUGAUUCCACACUGCCAAGAAAAGCCUCUAUCGAGUGAAUAGGUGCCCGUACCGCAAACCGACACAGGUAGGUGAGGAGAGAAUCCUAAGGCCAUCGGAAGAAUUGCUGUUAAGGAACUCGGCAAAUUGACCCCGUAACUUCGGGAGAAGGGGUGCCUACGAAAGUAGGCCGCAGAGAAUAGGCCCAAGCAACUGUUUAGCAAAAACACAGGUCUCUGCUAAAGCGAAAGCUGAUGUAUAGGGGCUGACGCCU